AUGGGCCAGCCCCACAGCUCUGCAGGCAGAGACCCUCCUGGAGGCAGGGCGUGGGGGUGGGCGGCAGGGUCAGAGCCAGGCACUGGGGCUGUGUUACUACCUGGGGACCCCAGGACCCGGGGCAAGGGCUGUGACCGCUCUGAGCCUCAAUCUCCCCUCAGGACACAGGACGUUCAGCGGGGCCCACAGCCCGUCAGCCCCUUCCCACAGGGACCCAGGGGGGCAGGGGGCCAGCCUCCACCCAUCACUCAGCAGGCUCUGAGGGCCACCCCUGGUGACUGCUGCGGAGCGGAGUCCCCCACAGGCCUGGAUGGCCAGAGUGCCCAAGAGGCUCCUGGGCUGUGGGCGGCACUGACCACGGACCGCCCAGCAAGGUCACACCAGACCUGCCCCGCCCUCUGCAGGAGGGGCCCAGCUCGGGCAGACAGGGAGGACACAGGGCCGGGUAGGGGCCAACUACCACAGCGGGCACCCCUGUGGCCAUGGCUGCAUCAGGAGAACCGACAGGAGCAGCCGCCCACGGGCACAACACAGCUGCUGCCCGGAGCCCGCCGGCCGGCCAGACGCAGCCCCUGCAGACGCCCCACACCCGGGCAGGCACCUGGUGACACGGGAGACCAGGAAGUGCUGCACGGCGGGGCUGUCCACCAUGGCCAGGGCGGCCCCAGCCCAGGCCCGGCACUGCUCCUGCGCCUGCGCCCAGGACGCCUUCUCUGCCCGCAGGCUGUAGCAGUGCCCAUUGCCGGGGAAGAUCUCCGUGUCCGAGGGGCAGAGCGGGUGCACCACUGGGGGCAGAGGGCAGAGACGGGCGUCAGUGUGUGCCCGGCCCGGGCAGUCCGCCCACCUGACGCGGCCAGGGCGGGCCCCACCUUGGGCUGGCUCCUCUCCCAGGGCCACGAUGCUGUAGGCGGCCUCCAGGCCCGAGCCGCCGCGGUUUCGGACGCCGAGCUGCAGGGUCUCCUCACUGUGCACCGAGGCCACACAGACGAGCUCCAGGGCAGCGGGGGCUGCCUCCACCCGCACCUCCACCCCCAGCCGGGCAGAGCCCACCCCCAGGGCCAGCACGGCCGUUACGGGGUAGCGGCCGGGCAGCACAUAGCGGUGAGUGGCGUCCGGGCCCGUGACAUCCACCUCCGGGGAGCCAUCACCGAAGUCCCAGUGCGUGGAGCUGACCGGCAGCGAGGCAGUGACAUGGAAGACUGCGGGCUGGCCAGAGGCCAGGGGUCCUUGGGGCCCCAGCAGAGUGGCCCCCGGGGAGGCAGGGAAGACGUGCUGGAGGAGGCUGGGCCCCCGGCAGGCAGGGGCAGGGGGCAGGGAGGGGCCGGAGCAGGAGGGCAGGCAGGCGGAAGAGGCGUUGGGGGGCCGAGCCGCCCCGCACAGGCACCGGCCCUGCUCCGAGAGGGCUGCGAGGGCCUGGCCAGCCGCGAAGCAGAGGGCGCUGCAGGCCUCAGGGGCCAGUGGGCCCUCGGGGGCAGCCAAGAAGGCCACCAGCGCCACGGCGCCCGAGCUGUCGUCAGGGACACAGGCAACAUACUCCUCACCUGCAAGGGCGGGCAGGCCGGUCCCAAGGGUGCGCCCCUCACCCCACCCCAUCCCAGACUGCAUCACCUCCGAGCCCUCCCGACCCCUCCCCAGUCAGUAACUGCCCCCCACCCGAGAGGACCUGCAGGGGUCCCACCUGGCCACUCAGCCAUGCCCCCUGGCACACUCACCACAGGCUCCAUCCAGCAGCGCUCCGCCAAGCAGCGGCUGACCAGCCAGGGGGCCAGGCCCGGCGCACGUGGCCGCCUCGGGCCGCACCACGCGGACCCGUUGCCCCUCCACCCAGCGCGGCAGCCAGGCCAGACCGCAGUCACACUCGAGCGGAUUCCCGCCCAGACUUCUGUAGGGGGUGGGGCAGGCUCAGCGGGCAGCGCGGGGCCCCCAGGCCCAGCCACCCACAGCCAGCAAAACCAUCGACACUUACAUUUCACUUAA
rnacentral:lncRNA from 1 species